rnacentral:rRNA from 1 species
CAGUAGCCGCGGUAAUACGGAGGGAGCUAGCGUUGUUCGGAAUUACUGGGCGUAAAGCGCACGUAGGCGGCUUUGUAAGUAAGAGGUGAAAGCCUGGUGCUCAACACCAGAACUGCCUUUUAGACUGCAUCGCUUGAAUCAUGGAGAGGCGGGUGGAAUUCCGAGUGUAGAGGUGAAAUUCGUAGAUAUGUGGAGGAACACCGAUGGCGAAGGCAGCCCCCUGGGAUAACACUGACGCUCAUGCACGAAAGCGCGGGGAGCAAACAGGAUUAGAGACCCCCGUAGUCCCUGUCUCUUAUAC